UGGCAGGUCAGCAUACUGCCGUGAAUACGUUCCCGGGCCUUGUACACACCGCCCGUCACACCAUGAGAGUUGGAAAUACCCGAAGCCUGUGAGCUAACAGUAAUGAGGCAGCAGUCGAAGGUAGAGCCAAUGAUUGGGGUGAAGUCGUAACAAGGUAUC
rnacentral:rRNA from 1 species